CUCCAGGAAAACGGGAGAAAGGAUCCCGUUGAGGAACCCACAUGGACUGGAGGGGAUUGGUUCGCCCUUCCCCCCUAAUAACCCUUCUCCCUUUGACCUGUUUCCGGACCCAUUUAUGGGCAACGAUUCCAACGCUGAUUUUGGCGUUCUUUGAUCGAUUCACUCGACGCCACCACCUGGAAACGACUCACCGCCAUCCCACGACCAUUUUCCACCUAAGGUUUCCGUUUUUUGGCCGCCGUUCCCGACAGGACGAGUUCGUCGGUCUCCUGAAUUCCUCGCUGGCAAUCUUGCGAUUCAGUUGACUCUGAUGUCAACCACCACAUCCAGUUCAAAGCCCACGACCCUAGGAGGUGAUUUGUGGGCCCCAAUGGUCUGAUGGUGCAGUGGCGGUAGCAAAGUGGCGUCGAAUCACUUUGGCCACCCACCACUUUCUUGACAAUUUACGCCAUCUUCUAUCCCUAUUAGACUUCGUCACAGAAUGGAAUUUUGGACAGCGAGAUGUCUUCAAUGUCUUGGUUUGGUUCCAAGGUCCGUUUGUUGAAAUAUACGAUGGUUCGAUAAUUUGAUUUAUAGAAAGUCGAACCGCUGUUUGACUUUCAAAAUUGAUGUCGAUCUGGCCGUUGGAUCGCUAUGAUACUUUACUAUGUUGUUGUGGUUAUUAUUUGAGGACUUUAGAAAUUUACAUAUUGGAAAUCUGAUGUAGAUAUCUUCUGGA